UAAGGUGGCAGGCCCUUGAAUGUUUUAAGGGUUUAUCUUCCAUUCACUGUGGUGCAUGUGUCUAGCAAGGUAGCUAGGGUACUGCCGGCUAAUUCCUGCACAUAAACUUGAAUCCCUCAAAGUAAGAAUGCCUGACCGGCUGCUGGUUUUCACCAUGAUUGUGAGCCGUUCAUUUUCAAGGUGCUGAAUAGCUGAGAAGGAAGGAUAAGAAUAGGGUACCUGGUGCACCACCAGUCUGAAACCACCGUUAACCAAGUUCACAGUUUGGGUUCC
rnacentral:lncRNA from 1 species